AAUAACGCUGACUCAACCAGUUUGUUUCCAGUGGGUAGCCCCUUCAAGAUUUUACAUUGCUUCCCUGGGGCAGAAUUUGAUGCUCUUGUCUUCUACAGAUGGGCAGUCUCAACAGAUGGGUAGAGGCAAGAAGAUACUUGUCCUAGCUAUUUUCUGUCUGUCAGCAUCAGUGAUGUACUCCUUCAUAUUCCACUAAGCACAACAGAGGAAGCACAGAUCAAUUAGUUCCUCAGCAAAUAAGAGCCUUACCAUCCACCAGUCCCAGACAACCCAAUUGCACCUGUCAGGGAAGCGGAGUGUUUAUYCUGAAAGAUCAUCUUCCAAAAGACCAGUAUGAUGACAUAGUCAAACGAAGAGCUGAGGAGUACAGGAAGCAUCAUAUCAGGACAAGCUCCAGUCUGAACAGGCUUAUAUUUGCUCCAUCCAACUCCCCUCUUCAGUAUCCAAUCCAGGGGUUCACUGUUGUCCCUCUUCGGAAGACAUUGAUAKCAGGUUUAGCUCUCCAUGCAGCAAAAAMACAAAAUUACAAGGUUGGUUCGAAAACGCUUUGAAUGGAUAAUGGACUUGAGGGUCUCAUGUU